AGUGAACGCUGGCGGUAUGCCUAACACAUGCAAGUCGAACGGCAGCACAGUAAGAUCUUUCCCUUACGGUUGGCGACUGGCGGACGGGUGACGAAUACAUCGCAUUCUUCUUUUUCUUGGGUGACAACGUAGGGCAACUUACACUAAUAGCUCAUACGUCCUACGGGUGAAAGCAGGGGUUCUUCGGACCUUUCGCGUUUGUUUUAGCCGAUGCCGGAUUAGCUAGUUGGCGAGGUAAAGGCCCACCAAGGCGACGAUCCGUAGCUGGUCUGAGAGGAUGAUCAGCCACACUGGAACUGAGACACGGUCCAGACUCCUACGGGAGGCAGCAGUGGGGAAUAUUGGACAAUGGGCGAAAGCCUGAUGCAGCCAUACCGCGUGAGUGAAGAAGGCCUUCGGGUUGUAAAGCCCUUUUGUUGGGGAAGAAAAGAAGCAGGUUAAUACACCGCUGUUCUGACGGUACCCAAAGAAUAAGCAACGGCUAACUUCGUG
rnacentral:rRNA from 1 species